rnacentral:hammerhead_ribozyme from 1 species
ACCCAGUUGACGAGUUCCAUAUGGGACGAAGCAUGUGUCCUGGAU